rnacentral:tRNA from 1 species
GGCGGGGUGGCGGAGCGGACGAACGCGGGGGAUUCGAAAUCCCUUGCAGGGUGAUUCAAGCCCUGCCGUGGGUUCAAAUCCCACCCCCGCCG